UACGGAGGAUGCGAGCGUUAUCCGGAUUUAUUGGGUUUAAAGGGUGCGUAGGCGGGAUGCCAAGUCAGCGGUAAAAAUGCGGUGCUCAACGCCGUCGAGCCGUUGAAACUGGCGUUCUUGAGUGGGCGAGUAGUAUGCGGAAUGCGUGGUGUAGCGGUGAACUGCAUAGAUAUCACGCAGAACUCCGAUUGCGAAGGCAGCAUACCGGCGCCCUACUGACGCUGAGGCACGAAAGCGUGGGUAUCGAACAGG
rnacentral:rRNA from 1 species